rnacentral:rRNA from 1 species
GGGCGUUAAGUUGCAGGGUAUAGACCCGAAACCCGGUGAUCUAGCCAUGGGCAGGUUGAAGGUUGGGUAACACUAACUGGAGGACCGAACCGACUAAUGUUGAAAAAUUAGCGGAUGACCUGUGGCUGGGGGUGAAAGGCCAAUCAAACCGGGAGAUAGCUGGUUCUCCCCGAAAGCUAUUUAGGUAGCGCCUCGUGAAYUCAUCUCCGGGGGUAGAGCACUGUUUCGGCUAGGGGGCCAUCCCGGCUUACCAACCCGAUGCAAACUGCGAAUACCGGAGAAUGUUAUCACGGGAGACACACGGCGGGUGCUAACGUCCGUCGUGAAGAGGGAAACAACCCAGACCGCCAGCUAAGGUCCCAAAGUCAUGGUUAAGUGGGAAACGAUGUGGGAAGGCCCAGACAGCCAGGAUGUUGGCUUAGAAGCAGCCAUCAUUUAAAGAAAGCGUAAUAGCUCACUGGUCGAGUCGGCCUGCGCGGAAGAUGUAACGGGGCUAAACCAUGCACCGAAGCUGCGGCAGCGAACGUAUCACUUAAAGCGAUUCAGCGGGUUACGAUUGACGGAGCGAAGCGACGUCAAAGCGUAUACAAAGUCGAGUCGGUUUAAGGAUACGUUCGUUGGGUAGGGGAGCGUUCUGUAAGCCUGUGAAGGUGGCCUGUGAGGGUUGCUGGAGGUAUCAGAAGUGCGAAUGCUGACAUAAGUAACGAUAAAGCGGGUGAAAAGCCCGCUCGCCGGAAGACCAAGGGUUCCUGUCCAACGUUAAUCGGGGCAGGGUGAGUCGACCCCUAAGGCGAGGCCGAAAGGCGUAGUCGAUGGGAAACGGGUUAAUAUUCCCGUACUUGGUGUUACUGCGAAGGGGGGACGGAGAAGGCUAUGUUGGCCGGGCGACGGUUGUCCCGGUUUAAGCGUGUAGGUGUGUGUUCCAGGUAAAUCCGGUUCACUUUAACACUGAGGCGUGACGACGAGGCACUACGGUGCUGAAGCAACAAAUGCCCUGCUUCCAGGAAAAGCCUCUAAGCAUCAGGUAACAYSAAAUCGUACCCCAAACCGACACAGGUGGUCAGGUAGAGAAUACCAAGGCGCUUGAGAGAACUCGGGUGAAGGAACUAGGCAAAAUGGUGCCGUAACUUCGGGAGAAGGCACGCUGACACGUAGGUGAAGUGAUUUACUCAUGGAGCUGAAGUCAGUCGAAGAUACCAGCUGGCUGCAACUGUUUAUUAAAAACACAGCACUGUGCAAACACGAAAGUGGACGUAUACGGUGUGACGCCUGCCCGGUGCCGGAAGGUUAAUUGAUGGGGUCAGCGCAAGCGAAGCUCCUGAUCGAAGCCCCGGUAAACGGCGGCCGUAACUAUAACGGUCCUAAGGUAGCGAAAUUCCUUGUCGGGUAAGUUCCGACCUGCACGAAUGGCGUAAUGAUGGCCAGGCUGUCUCCACCCGAGACUCAGUGAAAUUGAACUCGCUGUGAAGAUGCAGUGUACCCGCGGCAAGACGGAAAGACCCCGUGAACCUUUACUAUAGCUUGACACUGAACAUUGAGCCUUGAUGUGUAGGAUAGGUGGGAGGCUUUGAAGYGUGGACGCCAGUCUGCRUGGAGCCGACCUUGAAAUACCACCCUUUAAUGUUUGAUGUUCUAACGUGGACCCGUWAYCCGGGUUGCGGACAGUGUCUGGUGGGUAGUUUGACUGGGGCGGUCUCCUCCUAAAGAGUAACGGAGGAGCACGAAGGUUGGCUAAUCCUGGUCGGACAUCAGGAGGUUAGUGCAAUGGCAUAAGCCAGCUUGACUGCGAGCGUGACGGCGCGAGCAGGUGCGAAAGCAGGUCAUAGUGAUCCGGUGGUUCUGAAUGGAAGGGCCAUCGCUCAACGGAUAAAAGGUACUCCGGGGAUAACAGGCUGAUACCGCCCAAGAGUUCAUAUCGACGGCGGUGUUUGGCACCUCGAUGUCGGCUCAUCACAUCCUGGGGCUGAAGUAGGUCCCAAGGGUAUGGCUGUUCGCCAUUUAAAGUGGUACGCGAGCUGGGUUUAGAACGUCGUGAGACAGUUCGGUCCCUAUCUGCCGUGGGCGCUGGAGAACUGAGGGGGGCUGCUCCUAGUACGAGAGGACCGGAGUGGACGCAUCACUGGUGUUCGGGUUGUCAUGCCAAUGGCACUGCCCGGUAGCUAAAUGCGGAAGAGAUAAGUGCUGAAAGCAUCUAAGCACGAAACUUGCCCCGAGAUGAGUUCUCCCUGAGACUU